rnacentral:rRNA from 1 species
CCUACGGGAGGCAGCAGUAGGGAAUCUUCCGCAAUGGACGCAAGUCUGACGGAGCAACGCCGCGUGAGUGACGAAGGUUUUCGGAUCGUAAAACUCUGUUGUGAGGGAAGAACACGUACCAACUAACUAUUGGUACCUUGACGGUACCUCACCAGAAAGCCACGGCUAACUACGUGCCAGCAGCCGCGGUAAUACGUAGGUGGCAAGCGUUGUCCGGAAUUAUUGGGCGUAAAGCGCGCGCAGGCGGUUCCUUAAGUCUGAUGUGAAAGCCCACGGCUCAACCGUGGAGGGUCAUUGGAAACUGGGGAACUUGAGUGCAGAAGAGGAAAGUGGAAUUCCACGUGUAGCGGUGAAAUGCGUAGAGAUGUGGAGGAACACCAGUGGCGAAGGCGACUUUCUGGUCUGUAACUGACGCUGAGGCGCGAAAGCGUGGGGAGCAAACAGGAUUAGAUACCCUGGUAGUCCACGCCGUAAACGAUGAGUGCUAAGUGUUAGGGGGUUUCCGCCCCUUAGUGCUGCAGCUAACGCAUUNAAGCACUCCGCCUGGGGAGUACGGCCNCAAGGNUUGAAACUCAAAUGAAUUGACGGG